UGUUAAAAAUUUUAUCCAUUUAGACUAUUAAAAAUCAGUGUGGCUGAUGGAAAAUCAGACAUUAAAACGUGGUAUAUCAAGUGUACUUUAUACUGACGUACAGGGACCAAUUUUUAACAACUAAAAUGGAUAGAAUUUUUUACA
rfam:Gossypium arboreum cultivar AKA8401 contig_1187_9, whole genome shotgun sequence.